rnacentral:rRNA from 1 species
UACGAAGGGAGCUAGCGUUGUUCGGAAUCACUGGGCGUAAAGCGCACGUAGGCGGAUUUGUCAGUCAGGGGUGAAAUCCCGGGGCUCAACCUCGGAACUGCCUUUGAUACAGCAAGUCUUGAGUUCGAGAGAGGUGGGUGGAAUUCCUAGUGUAGAGGUGAAAUUCGUAGAUAUUAGGAAGAACACCCGUGGCGAAGGCGGCUCUCUGGGACGUGACUGACGCUGAGACGCGAAAGCGUGGGGAGCGAACAGG